ACCAAUCCAGAUGCUUUGAAUUGCCACCUGCCAAUUACUACAGUUCCUUGGAGCGAACCACCUCAUCCUUUAUCACAGCUAUCUCGCUAAUUCUCAGGGCUGCAAAGAAUGCAAGAGAAUACGCAGAAGAAAAAAGAACGAAGAUUAUCAACCACCUUACAGCCCGGUCCUUCAAAUUCAGG